GGAGCCGAGGGGGCCCCUUGCCCUGUGUUAUUACCCCUCCCAGGCCUUGUCCUGUGGGGACACGACAGGACCCUAGCCUGGUCCCUGCCUGCCUGCCUUAGGGCCCCCCUGGCCUGGGCGCCUCCUCUUCUCUGUUCCCCUGCCCUCCCAGCUUGGGCUCCACGCUGCAGAGGGAGGAGGGAGAGGGAGGAGGGAAAACGGUGGAGGGAGGUGGGAGGCAGGAGGCGGAAGGAAGGAGCAGGAGGCAGGAGGAGGUCAGUGUGGCAGCCAUUGGUAUGCGAGGCCCGGCCUCAGCCCCUCUGCUCCCUCCGCGGCCCAGCCUUUCUGCUCAGCUCUUUAAGAAUCCCUCCUCGGCAGCGGCAGCGUGCUGGUUGCUGGGCAACCCCAUCGCGCCCCGCCCCCUGCCGCUGGCGCUGGCCCUCUUCCCCUCCCCCUCCUCCCGCAGCUCCUCCCAGUGCCCCCAGCCUCAGCGGCGCUGGUGCUCCUAGCUCAGAACCUGCCAGGCCUGGCUGCUGGGGGCACCUGUGCCCGGCAGCCCCCAUUUGCUUCCACCUGCCACAGACUCUGCACCAUCCAGAAGGCCCAGUCUCUCUCCUGGAGGCCCUUCCCAGCCCACCCUGCGCAGCUGGCCUCGCCCCCACCCCCCUCUCGGACCCAUGCCCAUGAGCUGCUCGUCACACAGCCCUCCCUACCCUGGCUGAGGCUGGUGUCUCCACAGGGCUGUCUUUCAGGACACAGUUCACAUCUCCUUCCUGAACUUGGGAUGUGUGUAACAGGAAGCAAACACAACGCCAGAGAAAAAAUCAGCCACACCCGGAUCUUAGAGAUGUGGACAUGUUGGCCGGUAGAUGAAAAACGCAGUCAUAGAAAUCAUAAGCAAUCACCAACGAGCUGAGUGCUACAAAACAGAAGUGGAGGAGGGAGACAGAAGAAGGUGACCUAAUCGGGAAGGUGGGGUUAGAAGCUGGGCAUGGUGGCGGCACCUGCAAUUCCAGCUACUCGGGAGGCUGAGGUG